CCGAUCCCCGCAGCGACCGCAGAGGGUGAGGCUCCCCAAGCCGCGUUCACACCUGGGCGAAGGCACUAGCAUAGCGAGCCCGGGGAGCCUGCCGUUUCCGCGCCGGGCACCGUCGAGGGGACGCCGCCCGCCCGGGAGGACGGAAGGUUUGGCUCGCUACCUCUGCACACGGGCGAGCCCGGGCUCCUUCUCUCAGUCUCAACACACCUACCAGGAUGAGCUUAUCCAUAUCCAUGGUCCUGACUGCCCUAUCCUGCUCUCCCCAAAGGUGCCUUUGGAGAAGAGAACAAACUCCUUAUCAUAGUACAAAAGGUUACUUAAUCCUCAUAUGCUCCAUUUCCUCAUCUGUAAUAUGGGAAUAAGUGGACCUACUUAGUAAGAUGCUGUGAUAAAUGGAUGAGAACACUGGUCAAGCUCCUUACUACAGUUUCCGGAACGCAGUUUGGACACUGUUACAUUGACACUGCUGAGCAGCAACCAUGGAGGAGAGAGUUAGGCAGCUACUACAGGAAUCCAGGGACGAGAAAUGGUUGCUUAGACCUGGAUGACAGUGAAAGAGGGAAGAAGUGAUGGAUUCUGGAUGGUAUAGAAUUUGCUGAUCAAUUGGAUGUAGGUAUGAGAGACAAGAGGAGCCAGCAUAACUCCAAAGAUUCAGCAUGAGCAACUGGAUAUAUUUUCAAUAUUUGCAUUUUACAGGAAAGGUAACUAGGUAUUAUUCCAAAGUGUCUGGUCUUCCCACAAUGUUUCAUUACUUGAGGAAAAACGCAAUUGAAAUUAUGUGCAUAAAGCAUUACCACACAAAUUACAGACUUUUCAUUUUACAAAUGAAGGUUUAAUAAUUGGUAAUAUCACCCUGACUCAUGGGAUUUAUUGUUCAACAAUAAAUUAUUGACACAUAUGGUACAGGCUGGAAAGAGGAUAGGAAAUUUACAGAUGACAGAAUCAUAUCAGGUUAUCUAGGGACACUUGGGUAGAGCUCCACAUUCUUGAGGCUGAUGGCAUGAUAAAUUAUCCAUAGAAUCUCCUUGGAAACCAAUGUUUGACAGAAGGAGAUGGAGAACAGACUUUCCUGUGAUGAGAGAGGCAAACACCGUUUUGCUCUGGCUUCUUCAUUUCAACUGUUUCAAAUAGAAACUUGAAAAAGUAAUUACAAAGGUACUUCUAAGAGCUGUGUUUUGGACAGUCAGCAUAUAUUAUACCUUUCCAAUUAGUUUUCCAUACUGUAAAGAUUAACAGGCUCCAGGAAAGGUAUUUAAUUCCUUCAAGCUUUCUCUUUAUGUUGUUUCAUAUGUCCCUGCAAUGUAAGUUGAUGUUGUUGAGAGAAGAUGUAAUUCUUUCCCACUCUUCUUAUUGGAAACAUUACAUUGGGCUUACAGAAUCAAUCUUCUAUCUGGUGUUCUUUGUCUAGACCAGCGGUUCUCAACCUGUGGGUCGCGGCGGUCAAACGACCCUUUCACAGGGGUCGACUAAGACCAUCCUGCAUAUCAGAUAUUUACAUUACGAUUCAUAACAGUAGCAACAUUACAGUUAUGAAGUAGCAACGAAAAAUAAUUUUAUGGUUGGGUCACAACAUGAGGAACUGUAUUUAAAGGGCCAGAAGGUUGAGAACCACUGGUCUAGACACAUGAACAUGCCGUGAGAUGGUAAUUCCCAACAGUUAGUUCUCUUACACCUGCCCCCUCCCUGGACAUCCCUAUUUCAGUAAAAAGUACAUCUCUCUUUCUUCCCAGUCACCUUGACCCAGCCAGCUCCUUCCUGUCCUUCACCUCUAUCUCAGGACAGUGCCAAUAUCAAAAAUACUAACUCCGCAGGAUGCCUCAUGUGUAUAAGAACUCUUUCUCACUCCCAGUGCUAACAGGCCAGGAACAGCUCUGGUCUGUCCUCACUGCACUUGAUUGGCAUGCUGGGGCCGGCUUCAUUUUAAAGCCUGGCUCCGGUCAUAUUAUGCUUUCAAAACCCUGUAUUGGCUUCAUGUUGCACUCUUCCACCUGCGUGUCAGGGCCCUCCACAGUGUGGCUCCAAGCUGCCUUUCCAGUCUUAUCUCCUGGCACUUCCUUUUCAAGGUCACUCCAACUCUAGCAAAACCACUCUUCCCAGAACCUGCCUCCGUUUCAGAAGCUCAGGCCUUGACUCACACAGAAACGUUCCCUCGUGUCUAUCAGAAGUUGACCCAUCCUCCUGGUCCUGUCUCCAGUGGGGCUCAUAAGCUCCAGCUGUUGCCCCUGAUCCUGCGAUCCUCACCCAGUGUGCACAGUACUUAAUGCAGCCUGCAGACCUGAGCCCCUUUCCUAUCUUCAACACGUAUUCCAAGCUCCUAGAAGGUGACAAGUGUGCUUUGCUCAUCUCGCAGUCGCCCAUGGUGGAGGGAUGGUGCCUCACACAAAGUCAAGUUCAGGGAUUAUCAGUGCCCCGGAGUGUUAAAGAGUGGAGAUGUCUUAAACCAGGCUGUUUUUAAACUUGACCAUUAAAAGCCAUGAACAUUUCCCUUUCACUUCAUAACAGGCUAUCAGUGGAGACAAACGGAUAUAACCGUAUCUUCCCGGCCUCUUCAGUGUGCUUCCUACUCUUCUGUAUAAAUGGAGAUUACGUUAUGGUGAUUAAAAGUCCCUUGUAAAACGGUGUCACGGGGCCAUAUCUGGGAAGGGAGGGUCAGCGCCAAUCUGUUCCUUACUCGCUAUUGACUACGGGGAACAUGAGAUGAUAUGUUUGGAUCAGAGACAGAAAGGAAAUGGAGUUUUCAAGGGAGAAGAAAAAAAUUACAAAAGAAAAACCUGUUUCACAAAAUGCAGUCUGUGGAAAAUCUUUCAGCUGAAUGUCAAGAUUAAGAAAAAUCAAUAAAACCUUUGAAACCAGAA